CCACUUGUCGGUAUCGUACGCAACGGACGCAUCGUACGAAACACAUCGUAUCGGAUGUGCGAUGCGUACGAUGCGGACAGGUGGACGCACUUAUAUGAGUUUCUAUAUAAAUAAUACUACGAUCCGUUGCAUGCGAUACGUCCGAUGCGUACGAUACCGACAUGUGGACGCUAGCCUUUAAAAGACCUUUUAGCAUAGUCACAAGAACGGGCUAACAAUGUUUGUUUUGUUUGUAAUUGAUCGGAAUUGGAAUCAUCACAAAUCUAUUGUUUCUGAACAUAUUUUACAUUGUUUUUAUAAACACGGAGUUUUGCUAUGGUUCUUACAUUGCCAUAAUGUAAUCAAAAGAUAGUGAAAUAUGUUUUACUCUAAUUUUAAUUUUAUUUAUGUGAUAAAAUAUGAAGUCAAGUGUUUUCAACUUCAUUGAAUUUCAUUGUAGAUGUUGCUAUUGUAAAAAUAUUAUCGAUUGUCUUAUGUGUCAGUGAAGGUCUUAAAUAAUGUGGGUUGAACUCUUAUUAGGUAUAAUUGAAAAAGUAUUGUAUUAUUGAACUGAUUUUUACUAUUAAUUAUCAUAUCAAAGUUGUACAAUAAUAAUGAUUAUUAUUUUCCUACAUUUGAGGGUUGCUACACAAUGGGUAAUAAUGUAACUACGAAUUACCUAGUCCUGUGUCAUCAUUUUAGUAAAUACGAAAAAUUUUAGCCAAUAAAUGUGUCGCUUUUUGUGAAAUGUUUAAAUCACUAAUAAAAGGAGACAAAAUUAUAGUUAAAAUGGUGUCACAAGACUAGUAUUUAUGAAUAAAAUUGUUAAGUCGUCAAACAACCUUUUAUCUACAUUACGCAAAGAAAAAUAAAUUGUAAAACAUUGAUUUGUGAGAUUUUUUAAUUAUGCUACAUCACGAUAGUUCAUUAUUGUAUAAAUUGUCUAUCUAUACUAUACGAUGGUCAACAAAGAUAUUUGUAAUUUAAUCGGUCUGGUAGAACAGAGUAAUUUCAAAAGAAGUCGGAUUUGUGAAUUUAGUGCUAGGAAUAAGUAAGUGUGAUUAAUGUGACCACUGUUACAAACGCAGAUCAAGAGUAAAUUAUACAAUCUUAAUUCUAGUAUACUACUUUGCAAGUAAGGGCCAUCGCCCACGGCGACUUUUACGAAACGCGCGACAGCAUCGCUACUAACGCGCGUUAGUCGCCUUUGCAACGCACUAAAGUCAUGUCAACGCGAACGCGAUACAGCAGCGCGACUGUAUCGCUACAAAAAGUUGCCGUGGGUGAGGGCCCUAAGGCCCGGUUUCCACCGAAAUGGAGAGGAGAGAUGUGCGCUGUGAGCUGUGUGCAAGGCGCAAAUUCUAUAUCUAAGGCAAAUUCUAUAGAAAAAAGUCUGUCAAGUCUGCAAAGUCUGUCUUCUCCGCUCGAUCCGUUUCCAAAGUUGAGCAGAAGGGAGAUGUGGAAAUAACGUAAUCUGAUUGAUUUAAAACACAUCUCGUCGUCUCGUCUUUUCCGCUUUGGUAGAAAUCGGGCUUAAGUAGAUUAUUGAAAAUGAGUCAUCUAUUUUAUUUUCAAAUUAUUAGUCACAAAACUGUGUGGAAUAAGCUAGUGAGAUGUGCUUUAGUAAUGCGAUCGGAUCGUACAAUCAAUUGAAUUUAAUGUUUUUAUUGUGAAUUGUGAAACAUGGUUAUAAAAACUACAAUAUUUUCAACAAGUAAUUGCAAAUUCAUAGAUCUGCAUACAAUAUGUUGUAUUUAUACAAAUAUGUACAUAAAAUGAAAGGCUGAAAGAAUGUAAAAGCAGCAAGAUGUUAGCUAAUGGACCCAAAACCACAAAAGCAAAUGAUACUAUGCAACAGCUUUAGGAGAGUAACCCAAAAUAGUGGCAAGGCAGACUAUAAAAUUGGGACGUGUUUAGGAGAGAGUCCUCAAAGAGUCAAAAAUGUACUUAAUAUAAUUUGGACUCGGCAAUAGUAGGUACUCAUGCCACAGAUUCUCCAGAAAACCAGGCCGUCGGUUGCGGUUGCGAGAUUUUUUCCUUCGUUACAUCUCUUAGCCACACGAUCUCCCAACUUUACUAAGCUGGUGGUAAUUCCAUUGGUGAACUUUGUUAAUUCGAAUGUAAGUUUGGAUGUCAGAGGUGCUACUUACAACUUGAUGCACUCUAUUUUUUUUUCUAACUCGUGUCAUUAUUUUCUUCUUAGCGCACUCAAUUUAAUUUAUAAAUAUUUUUAUUUCGUAAAACACGUUGCGGGAUCGAUGACUUAAUUCCAUUAUUACAUGUAAUUUUUCGAUAUUUUUAGUUGCCUGCUUUUUAGAAAUAAUGGGCCUUUAUUAAAAGUAAGCAAAGUAGUUUUCUUGAAUCCGCCAAAAAAGCACGGAAAUGAUUAUAUCGGAAAAGCAAUAUCUUUAUGUAUUUACUAAUGCAAACUAAAUCGUAACUGACUACAAAAUACAGAUAUUAAUCAGGGGUUUAAAGUAAAUCAUGCUGUUAAAGUAUUCAUAUUUUUGCAUUUCGUUGAAGGCUUGAAGAUGCAUUCUUACAAAUUUUAUUGGUGCGUGUGGAACUUUUAUGAAACUCUUAUAACUCAUUUAUUUUUGCAAAUAGGCUUUUAAAAAGCACUUUUACACAUGCAAAAAAGUUAUGGUAGGUAUUAAAUCAGCUACAUGCGAUGUCUAUGUCACAGAAAACAAACGAAAAUCACCAAAACGAUCAUCAACCUAUCACAAAGUGUACAAUUUUGAUAGCACAUCAGUGAUCAGACACACAUCUGUUGCAAAGUCACCCUAAAUACAACUACUUGGUGCCACAGUGUUUACCUUUACUACACAAUGGACGCACAUCCCGUAAGGGCGAUUCUGCUCCUAAAAUGCAAUAAUUUAAUAGGGCCAACAGAAAAUUCAAAUACCACUUUCCAUAUCACCUUAUAUGCAAAGAUUUGCAUCCAUUGUGUAAGGGCACCUUUAAAAUAGAUGUAUACUGAAAUGGCAUUACUAAAAUAGAAUAAUUAUUUUUUGAUCAAUUUCUAAUAACAUUAGCUUCUCAAAUUAGAUAUGUAUUAUUUUGUGCGUACUGUUGUAUAAUUCAAAUUUAUCUAAGUAGUAUAAUAACACUCAUAAGCAUGAAAAGCAGAAUUUUGCUUUAAAAUUAUAAUUAAAUAAGUUGUAAUACAAAAAACAUCUGAUAUUCGAUGGAUUUAAUUUAAUUGUGAUAUUGUACUUGUGAAGCCCAUACCGGUUUAUUAUUAUUUAAUCAAUUUUAUUUGUAAGUAGUUAUUCUAAGUUUAGUUUGCAUUCGAAAAUUUGCAUUGUAAAAUCUACAAUAAAGAACAAACAUGUAAAAAUAAUUGUGGAAAUAUUCCAUUGUAAUUGUGACCUGUGAAGAAAACUUAGAAAAAAUAAAAAGUAAAACAAAUAAA